rnacentral:rRNA from 1 species
AGAAUCAACGCUGGCGGCGUGCCUAACACAUGCAAGUCGAACGAGAAAGUGGAGCAAUCCACCAGUAAAGUGGCGCACGGGUGAGUAACACGUGACUAACCUACCCUUGAGUGGGGGAUAACCUAGGGAAACCUGGGCUAAUACCGCAUAAUACCUUCGGGUCAAAGGAGCAAUUCGCUUAAGGAGGGGUCGCGGCCGAUUAGUUAGUUGGCGGGGUAAUGGCCCACCAAGACUGUGAUCGGUAUCC